CGGGGUGCAGCAGGCGCGAAAACUUUACAAUGCCGGCAACGGCGAUAAGGGAACCUCGAGUGCCAGGUUACAAAUCUGGCUGUCGUGAUGCCUAAAAAGCAUUGCAUAGCAAGGGCCGGGCAAGACCGGUGCCAGCCGCCGCGGUAACACCGGCGGCUCGAGUGGUAACCGUUAUUAUUGGGUCUAAAGGGUCUGUAGCCGGCCGGGUAAGUCUCUUGGGAAAUCUGGCAGCUUAACUGUCAGGCUUUCAGGAGAUACUGCCUGGCUCGAGGCCGGGAGAGGUGAGAGGUACUUCAGGGGUAGGGGUGAAAUCUUGUAAUCCUUGAAGGACCACCAGUGGCGAAGGCGUCUCACCAGAACGGACCUGACGGCAAGGGACGAAAGCUAGGGGCACGAACCGGAUUAGAUACCCGGGUAGUCCUAGCCGUAAACGAUACUCGCUAGGUGUCGGCCACGGUGCGACCGUGGUCGGUGCCGUAGGGAAGCCGUGAAGCGAGCCACCUGGGAAGUACGGCCGCAAGGCUGAAACUUAAAGGAAUUGGCGGGGGAGCACAAGGGCGAAUCGCGG
rnacentral:rRNA from 1 species